rnacentral:rRNA from 1 species
UACGUAGGAGGCAAGCGUUGUCCGGAAUUACUGGGCGUAAAGCGCGUGUAGGUGGUGGGACAAGUCUGCUGUGAAAGCGCCUGGCUUAACCGGGCGAGGUCGGCGGAAACUGUCCGACUCGAGGACGGUAGAGGGGGGUGGAAUUCCCGGUGUAGUGGUGAAAUGCGUAGAGAUCGGGAGGAACACCUGUGGCGAAGGCGGCCCCCCUGGGCCGGCCCUGACACUGAGACGCGAAGGCGUGGGGGAGCGAACGGG